rnacentral:rRNA from 1 species
GAGGAAUAUUGGUCAAUGGGCGCGAGCCUGAACCAGCCAAGUAGCGUGCAGGAUGACGGCCCUAUGGGUUGUAAACUGCUUUUGUAUGGGGAUAAAGUCAAUCACGUGUGAUUGUUUGCAGGUACCAUACGAAUAAGGACCGGCUAAUUCCGUGCCAGCAGCCGCGGUAAUACGGAAGGUCCAGGCGUUAUCCGGAUUUAUUGGGUUUAAAGGGAGCGUAGGCUGGAGAUUAAGUGUGUUGUGAAAUGUAGACGCUCAACGUCUGAAUUGCAGCGCAUACUGGUUUCCUUGAGUACGCACAACGUUGGCGGAAUUCGUCGUGUAGCGGUGAAAUGCUUAGAUAUGACGAAGAACUCCGAUUGCGAAGGCAGCUGACGGGAGCGCAACUGACGCUUAAGCUCGAAGGUGCGGGUAUCAAACAGGAUUAGAUACCCUGGUAGUCCGCACAGUAAACGAUGGAUGCCCGCUGUUGGUACCUGGUAUCAGCGGCUAAGCGAAAGCAUUAAGCAUCCCACCUGGGGAGUACGCCGGCAACGGUG